UUUCCUUUGUGCAUUUGGAAACACACACGGAAAAUCUGACAUUGUUUUUAUUAAUUUAAUCAGCAAUUAGAUGAAUGAUUACUCAAAUUUCUUGUGAAAUUGUUACAUGGACACCAGGUAUGACUGAGCGUGUGUGACUAAGAUGAGCCGGAAGGCGUGGCGUCUGUGUGUUGGAGAAGUAAAAGCGACAUGUAUUCACAGGUUUCUGCUUUCCUCCCCUUCCCUCUUUUGUUGGAGAUUCCCGCACUGAAAGCGGAACUCGACAUUUAGUUUUAAUCCCAGGCGGACGCCAGGCCAACCUAACGAGAAAAACAAAUCUACUUUUUGAUGACCGGACGGGUUGGCCUUCUUUGCAAACGACGAUGACAAGCGCUCCAUCCCAUCACCGACAGAGAGGCAUCGACUACGACCUGCCCACCUGCGGAGAGACCAAGUGCAGCGGACACGGUUUUUGUGUGAUCCCCCCAGGUGGGGGUGCUGGCAUCGCGUGCGAGUGUGACCUGGGCUACCAGGGCGAAACCUGCCAGUUAACAUUUAACGGCUCCCUAAGCCUCCCGCUGACCUUGAGUGUGGUGGCCGUCCUUAUCGGUUUGGUGACUCUGGCUUACAUCUUCGCCAAGUUGCGGCAGAAGCAAAAACAGUGGAAGAGGGAGAAAAGUAUGGCCAAACAAGUCCUUUGUGAAGCGGGUCCAUCAAAUUAACACCAGAGGCAAGUUAAGGAGACCCCUCUUCAAAUGUUCUUCUGCAACCUCCUCGCUCAUUUUAUUCAAGCGUUAAGAUGGACCAGCAUGGACCUUUGCUCCUUGAAGUGCUGAUCCACAAAUGCUGAAUUAAGCUUUACUGUGAUUGAGUUGGCCGUCUAACCAUUUCUGACAUUUCUGAUGAAACGACACUGUCACAUGCUGAAAGUGAAGUAUGCUGUUAUAUUUAUUCCCUUAGUUUGUUAUACUUGGAAAAUGUUUGUGCUCAUAUGUGGGGCAGGUGAUAUUUAUAUAACAGAUUUUAGCAAACCUUUGUGGUAAUAGAAACGUCUCCUUUUAAGUGGUCCUGAUUUAUUUUACUUAUUUUUUUUGUAAGGGAAGGAAGGCGAUGAGGGAAAAAUGGCUAGUGCGUCAUGUUCCUGAAAUUGCCUAGAGAGCACACCAACACCACACACAACCUAAUCUCAAAAAUUGCAGAUUUAUGCCAAGGGAAAUGACCGUUGCGGGUGCAAUCCCUUUUAAUAAAUUUACAGUUGGACUUGAAGUGCACUUUAUGAUCUAACUAAAAUCCGUCACAAUAUAAUCGUGGUGCACACUUUGGUACGGUAACCCACUUUUAAAAAUCUGUAAAAUAUAACCAAACAGUCACUAUUCAGCAUCAGUCGGCUAUCUUUAUUUUUUUAUUUUGAUGAUUGCGUCCUUUACGGAGCUUGCACCCUGAGAUAAAGUGACUCUGCAGGCCUGCUAUAAGUGCCAGUCCUGCAAACCAAAAGAACUGGUACAGAGUUUUGAGCCCCCAACCUUAGCAAUGUCUGACCCAUGAUAAUUAACCAAAAAGAAAUAUUUUGCCUACGAGCUUAUCAGGAUGCAAACUUUUCCCUUUUUUUUUUUAAUUGUUGUGAAUGACUUAACACAAGUAGUUACUCCUCUGUUUGUGGCCAACUGCAGCUUCAAGUCACACCCACCCCCGUUCAAAAAAAAAAACGCCUCCUCACAUCGAAAGAACAGGAACUCAGUUUAACUAUCGAACUGUGCUGACAAUGUGGUGCAACGUUGUCUUUUGUCAACCAACAAGUUGUGCAGCCCGAACACUCACCGAAGGGAGUGUUUUUGUUCCCACCCACUAAUUUACUUUUCAACUUUACACAGAUGGAAACAUAUUCCCUCACGGCGUAAAUUUGAGAAGAAACAAUAUUUAUUAGGAACUAUAAACACUGACAGUUUCAGGUUUUAGUAGAAUACCAGUCUGCUUUAUUUCUUGUUCGCACCUUUUUUUUCCCCGCUCAAGGUGAUGGGUAAAGUCGUGAAGCACCGUCCGUUUUUCUGUUUUGUCAUUAUUUACACGAGUAAUCGGAUUACCUACAAGCCUCUAGACAUGAUUAAGAAAAUUAUGUUAGGUUUUUCUUAUGCUCAACUGUUGC